AAGCCAUUUGCUUCUCCUUCAUCUUUCGUCGUGAUUGUAUGUUCCUGGGGCCCCCCCAGCCAAGCAGAACUCAAAAUGUGACUGAAAAACAGAAGCAUUUGGAAUACGUAACAGAAGUCAUUAAAAAGAGCCAUGUAAUAUGUGCCUGCUUCCCCUUCUGCCAUGAUUGUAAGUUUCCUGAUGCCUUCUCAGCCAUGCAGAACUAAUACUGGAAGAACAUUAAAAGUCAGAGAGAUGUGCUCCUGUUCAUCUGGAAGAAAGCAAAGAAUCAUGCUCUGAACUCCUUUUGGGGGCAUGUGGCCAGGAACUGAGCGUGACCUCUAGAAGUUGAAUGUGGUCUCUAUUCAGAAGUCAGUAAGAAUAUGGAUGCCUUAGUCAUACAACUUCAGGGAAAUGAAUUUUGUCAACAAUUAAUGAGUUUGGGUAGUACGCUGAGGCUCCAAUAUGAAUUGGGAGCCCAGAUGAUUUUUAGCCGGGGGUCCUGAGCACUUUGUUACCUUGUACCAUAACUCCCGUACCAUGGAAACUGUGAAAUAAAUUUCUGUCAUUUUAAACCACUAACUUGUGGUAAUUUGUUAUUCAAAAACAGGAAACUAAUGAAAUCACUGUUAUGCGAUGAGGUGGCAACUAAAAACCAGUUAGCUGCUUUUUCCAUUGUCAACGAUUUUUACUGUUAGUUAUUAGCUAAACAUUCUCUUUUAUAGAUUUGUUUAUCAAAUUUUAACACAGAAUUAAGGGGCUAUUGGAGGAAUAAGAGAAAAUUAAUCAUUUUAUUUUAAUUGUAUAUUGCAGUGUAAUUCUGACAUAACAUUGUUUCAUAAUAUGCAGAUAUUGAUAAUCUAAAUUCAAACCAUAUAUUGGCAAGUUAAUUUUAUAAAAUAUGUGUAUGUUAUUUGACAGAGACUAACUCUCCCUACUACAUUUGUAGCUAUUUUUGGUGAUAUUAAUGUGGAUAUUCUUAAAAUUACAUCUAUUUAAAAAUCUUGGCAAAGGGAAGGACAAGACGUUGUGUUAUAAAAUUUAAUAUUGUGAUGA
rnacentral:lncRNA from 1 species